rnacentral:rRNA from 1 species
GACAGAGGGGGCAAGCGUUGCUCGGAAUUACUGGGCGUAAAGGGUGCGUAGGUGGUUAUGUAAGUUAGGUGUGAAAUUCCUGGGCUUAACCUGGGGACUGCGCCUGAUACUGUGUAGCUAGAGUACUGUAGAGGAAAGUGGAAUUUCCGGUGUAGCGGUGAAAUGCGUAGAUAUCGGAAGGAACAUCGGUGGCGAAGGCGACUUUCUGGACAGCUACUGACACUGAGGCACGAAAGCAUGGGGAGCAAACAGG